rnacentral:rRNA from 1 species
UACGUAGGGGGCUAGCGUUGUCCGGAAUCAUUGGGCGUAAGGCGCGUGUAGGCGGCCCGAUAAGUCCGCUGUGAAAGUCCAGGGCUCAACCCUGGGAUGCCGGUGGAUACUGUCGGGCUCGAGUCCGGAAGAGGCGAGUGGAAUUCCUGGUGUAGCGGUGAAAUGCGCAGAUAUCGGGAGGAACACCAGUGGCGAAGGCGACUCGCUGGCCAGUAACUGACGCUGAGACGCGAAAGCGUGGGGAGCAAACAGG